GGCCUAACACAUGCAAGUCGAGCGCACCUUCGGGUGAGCGGCGGACGGGUUAGUAACGCGUGGGAACAUACCCUUUUCUACGGAAUAGCCUCGGGAAACUGAGAGUAAUACCGUAUAAGCCCUUCGGGGGAAAGAUUUAUCGGGAAAGGAUUGGCCCGCGUUAGAUUAGAUAGUUGGUGGGGUAAUGGCCUACCAAGUCUACGAUCUAUAGCUGGUUUUAGAGGAUGAUCAGCAACACUGGGACUGAGACACGGCCCAGACUCCUACGGGAGGCAGCAGUGGGGAAUCUUAGACAAUGGGCGCAAGCCUGAUCUAGCCAUGCCGCGUGUGUGAUGAAGGUCUUAGGAUCGUAAAGCACUUUCGCCAGGGAUGAUAAUGACAGUACCUGGUAAAGAAACCCCGGCUAACUCCGUGCCAGCAGCCGCGGUAAUACGGAGGGGGUUAGCGUUGUUCGGAAUUACUGGGCGUAAAGCGUACGUAGGCGGAUUGGAAAGUUGGGGGUGAAAUCCCAGGGCUCAACCCUGGAACUGCCUCCAAAACUAUCAGUCUAGAGUUCGAGAGAGGUGAGUGGAAUUCCAAGUGUAGAGGUGAAAUUCGUAGAUAUUUGGAGGAACACCAGUGGCGAAGGCGGCUCACUGGCUCGAUACUGACGCUGAGGUACGAAAGUGUGGGGAGCAAACAGGAUUAGAUACCCUGGUAGUCCACACCGUAAACGAUGAAUGCCAGUCGUCGGGCAGUAUACUGUUCGGUGACACACCUAACGGAUUAAGCAUUCCGCCUGGGGAGUACGGUCGCAAGAUUAAAACUCAAAGGAAUUGACGGGGGC
rnacentral:rRNA from 1 species